rnacentral:rRNA from 1 species
GAUGAACGCUGGCGGCGUGCCUAAUACAUGCAAGUUGAGCGCACGGACGAGAAGCUUGUUUCUCUGAUGUUAGCGGCGGACGGGUGAGUAACACGUGGAGAACCUACCUUUAAGACUGGGAUAACUUCGGGAAACCGGAGCUAAUACCGGAUAAUAUCUUUAACCGCAUGGUUCAAAAGUGAAAGAUGGUCUUGCUGCCCCUUAUAGAGGUAUCGGGGUUGAUUAAGUUAGUUGGUAGGGUAACGGCCUACCAAGGCAACGAUACAUACCCGACUGGGGAGGGUGAUCGCCACCAUGGGAACUGAGACCCGCCCCAGACCCCUCGGGAAGCAAGAGGAAGGAAAUCUUGGGCAAUGGGCGAAGGCCUGCCGGAGCACGCCCGCUUGGGUGAGAAGGGUCUUCGAUUCUUAAACCUCUUUUAUUGGGGAAAAACAUAGGUGGAGUUAACUGUGCACCAAUUGACGGUAACUAAUCAGAAAGCCACGGCUAACUACGUG